rnacentral:rRNA from 1 species
CAGCAGCCGCGGUAAUACGUAGGUGGCAAGCGUUGUCCGGAAUUAUUGGGCGUAAAGGGCUCGCAGGCGGCUUUUUAAGUUUGGUGUGAAAUCUCCCGGCUCAACCGGGAGGGUGCGCCGAAUACUGAGAGGCUAGAGUGUCGGAGAGGUAAGUGGAAUUCCUGGUGUAGCGGUGAAAUGCGUAGAUAUCAGGAGGAACACCGGUGGUGUAAACGGCUUACUGGACGAUAACUGACGCUGAUGCACGAAAGCGUGGGUAGCAAACAGGAUUAGAUACCCCUGUAGUCCCUGUCUCUUAUAC